UACGGAGGAUCCGAGCGUUAUCCGGAUUUAUUGGGUUUAAAGGGUGCGUAGGCGGCCUGUUAAGUCAGGGGUGAAAGACGGUAGCUCAACUAUCGCAGUGCCUUUGAUACUGAUGGGCUUGAAUACAGCUGAGGUAGGCGGAAUGUGACAAGUAGCGGUGAAAUGCAUAGAUAUGUCACAGAACACCGAUUGCGAAGGCAGCUUACUAAAGUGCGAUUGACGCUGAGGCACGAAAGCGUGGGGAUCAAACAGG
rnacentral:misc_RNA from 1 species